rnacentral:rRNA from 1 species
GACGAACCGUCCGAACGUUAUUCGGAAUCACUGGGCUUAAAGGGUGGCGUAGGCGGCGCGGAAAGUUGGGUGUGAAAUCCCUCGGCUUAACCGAGGAACUGCGCCCAAAACUACCGUGCUUGAGGGAGAUAGAGGUGAGCGGAACUUAGGGUGGAGCGGUGAAAUGCGUUGAUAUCCUAAGGAACACCGGUGGCGAAAGCGGCUCACUGGAUCUCUUCUGACGCUGAGGCACGAAAGCUAGGGUAGCGAACGGG